ACUUCGGGAGAAGGCACGCUGAUGGUAGGUGAAGUGACUUGCUCAUGGAGCCGAAAUCAGUCGAAGAUACCAGCUGGCUGCAACUGUUUAUUAAAAACACAGCACUGUGCAAACACGAAAGUGGACGUAUACGGUGUGACGCCUGCCCGGUGCCGGAAGGUUAAUUGAUGGGGUUAUCCGUAAGGAGAAGCUCUUGAUCGAAGCCCCGGUAAACGGCGGCCGUAACUAUAACGGUCCUAAGGUAGCGAAAUUCCUUGUCGGGUAAGUUCCGACCUGCACGAAUGGCGUAAUGAUGGCCAGGCUGUCUCCACCCGAGACUCAGUGAAAUUGAACUCGCUGUGAAGAUGCAGUGUACCCGCGGCAAGACGGAAAGACCCCGUGAACCUUUACUAUAGCUUGACACUGAACAUUGAGCCUUGAUGUGUAGGAUAGGUGGGAGGCUUUGAAGUGUGGACGCCAGUCUGCAUGGAGCCAACCUUGAAAUACCACCCUUUAAUGUUUGAUGUUCUAACGUAGACCCGUGAUCCGGGUUGCGGACAGUGUCUGGUGGGUAGUUUGACUGGGGCGGUCUCCUCCCAAAGAGUAACGGAGGAGCACGAAGGUUAGCUAAUCCUGGUCGGACAUCAGGAGGUUAGUGCAAUGGCAUAAGCUAGCUUGACUGCGAGCGUGACGGCGCGAGCAGGUGCGAAAGCAGGUCAUAGUGAUCCGGUGGUUCUGAAUGGAAGGGCCAUCGCUCAACGGAUAAAAGGUACUCCGGGGAUAACAGGCUGAUACCGCCCAAGAGUUCAUAUCGACGGCGGUGUUUGGCACCUCGAUGUCGGCUCAUCACAUCCUGGGGCUGAAGUAGGUCCCAAGGGUAUGGCUGUUCGCCAUUUAAAGUGGUACGCGAGCUGGGUUUAGAACGUCGUGAGACAGUUCGGUCCCUAUCUGCCGUGGGCGCUGGAGAAUUGAGGGGGGCUGCUCCUAGUACGAGAGGACCGGAGUGGACGCAUCACUGGUGUUCGGGUUGUCAUGCCAAUGGCAUUGCCCGGUAGCUAAAUGCGGAAAAGAUAAGUGCUGAAAGCAUCUAAGCACGAAACUUGCC
rnacentral:rRNA from 1 species